rnacentral:sRNA from 1 species
CCGCCGCCCUGCAGCCCACUCGCUGCCUCGGCAGCGCGCUGCUCUUCUAAGAUGGCUGCCGCUACCGGUGCGGUGGCAGCCUCGGCCGCCUCGGGUCAGGCGGAAGGUAAAAAGAUCACCGAUUUGCGGGUCAUCGAUCUGAAGUCCGAGCUGAAGCGGCGGAACUUAGACAUCACCGGAGUCAAGACCGUGCUCAUCUCCCGACUCAAGCAGGCUAUUGAAGAGGAAGGAGGCGAUCCAGAUAAUAUUGAAUUAACUGUUUCAACUGAUACUCCAAACAAGAAACCAACUAAAGGCAAAGGUUGUUACGAGUUAUGAACAUGUUUUAAAAUAUAUUUUGGUUAUAUAACUUGCCUCUGCUCUUGUGCCUCUUGCCCUGUUUAUAUAGUGCUACUCUUUGCUAUUUCCCUCUGGCACUCUGCCUUCUUGGGUCAAGGAAGAAAAGUUACUGUUGCCAGGCUUUGGGUGACUUGUAGCCCUUAAGAUUCGGCUGAAGCUGAUUAGA